AGGCUGGGUGGAAGCAUGUUCAAAACGUUGUCUAGCCUGGUGAGUGAGUGAGAGAGAGAGAAACUCCCAUUCCUCUCAUUUCCAGUCCAACUUUUCACAAGAGCACAUUUAAUGGAAAUCAUCCUCUGCUCAAUGUUGCUCGCUGCUGUGCUCCCUCUUUUUUUCAUCCUAUUUUCCCCUUUUUGUGUAUUUCCGUUUAUUUGAUUUCUGGACAGAUUACUCUCAUUUCUCAAGCAUGCCCCCCCCACCCCCAUGUGACGCGGGGAGAAGCUCACAGGACAUACUUCUCUCUUUGUUUAGAUGGUAUCUCUUGGUGGUGUUUGUUGGCACCAGGGGAACGUUUACAAUGCAGCACGUGCCAAUGGGUCAGCCAUGACACCUCGAGAGAGAUCCCUGAAGGAGGACCAUUCUAAUUGAUAGUUCUGUCUCGAACACACACACACUUGCAUAGACACGAACACCUGGUGACUGUGGUCAGAGAGCCUGAUGUUUUAACGGAAAGGAAGCCUGUACAGGACAGGUAACAGUAGUAAGAGAGGCCAUAGACCCAACAACAGGUGUAUGAGCAGCCUUAGCAUAGUGAAAUACAGUAAAACAGGCCAUAUGGACCGAACAACAGAUCCAGGAUCAGCCCUCAGCACAGAGAUCCCGACCGGGAAGAACUUCUACAGCACUGUGGACGAGUGAUGCAACGGCCUCCAUCUGGUCCUAAUGCUGGUAGCAGGGGCCGAGAGUCGCGGAGGAGGGAUAUAUGUCACGGAUCUCUCCGGAACCGAGUCAUUACGCACACCUGGUCCCCAUUCCCACUGAUUGUAUUGUAUAAAUGUGCCCUUUGGUUAACCAUUGGGCUGUCUUUAUUGUUACAAUGUCCGGUGGUCGUGUGAGUACCUGUGCUGUGUUGUUUUGGCUUUCGUGCCACGUGUAUUGUGCAGAUGAUUACGGGUCUCGUCAUGUGUGAUAAUCAUUGUGCGCUUGUGUAUAUAUUCAAGGUACUCCUCGCUCUUUUGUUUGGGUCUCAACCCUGUGUUUUGUAACGUGUUUGUUUGGUCUUCGUCCCCGUGUCUGUACACGGCACGCUGGAAUUUGGGUAAAGACAUUUUAAAAACGAUUACGCAUUCCUGCGCCUGUCUCCCGACCAUUUAUGCCAGCGUGACAAUAUAACGCAAAGGACUGAGCCUAUCCAGCCAUGACGCACAGUGCCCAUGGAAGAGAGAUGUGCCUUUUGUGCCAGUGAAACAUGAAAACGAUUGGUUCCCCCCCAUUUUGUGUAAUUUGAUUAAAAACCAAGCAUAGCCUACCCUCCCCUUAAUCAAGGCUGGUUUAGCAGCAUGACAUACAGUGCAUUCAGGAAGUAUUUAGACCCCUUGAGUUUUUCCAAAUUUUGUUACCUUACAGCCUAAUUCUAAAGUGUAUUAAAUUUAAAAAAAAUCCUCAUCAGUCUACACACAAUAUCCCAUAAUGAGAAAGCAAAAACAGGUUUGUAGACAUUUUUGCAAAUUUUGUACAAAUUAAAUACAGAUACCCUAUUUACAUCAGUAUUCAGACCCUUCGCUAUGAGACUCGAAAUUGAGCUCAGGUGCAUCCUGUUUCCAUUGAUCUUCCUUGAGAUUUCUACAACUUGAUUGGAGAAUAUGGGUAUAUUUUUCAGCAGCAGGGACCGGGAGACUAGUCAGGAUCGAGGGAAAGAUUAACGGAGCAAAGUACAGAGAGAUCCUUGAUGAAAACCUGCUCCAGAGCGCUCAGGACCUCAGACUGGGGUGAAAGUUCACCUUCUAACAGAAAAACAACCCAAAGUACACAGCCAAGACAACGAAGGAGUGGCUUCAGGGCAAGUCUUUGAGUGGCCCAGCCAGAGGCCAGACUUGAACCCAAUCAAACAUCUCUGGAGAGACCUGAAAAUAGCCGUGCAGCGACGCUCCCCAUCCAACUUGACAGAGAUUGAGAGGAUCUGCAGAAAAUAAUGGGAGAAACUCCCCAAAUACAGGUGUGCCAAGCUUGUAGCAUCAUACCCAAGAAUACUUGAGGCUGUAAUCUGCCAAAGGUGCUUCAACAAGU